UACAGAGGGUGCGAGCGUUAAUCGGAAUUACUGGGCGUAAAGGGUGCGUAGGUGGUUUGAUAAGUUAGGUGUGAAAGUCCUGGGCUUAACCUGGGAACGGCGCUUAAGACUGUUAAGCUUGAGUACUGUAGAGGGAGGUGGAAUUUCCGGUGUAGCGGUGAAAUGCGUAGAGAUCGGAAGGAACAUCAGUGGCGAAGGCGACUUUCUGGACAGAUACUGACACUGAGGCACGAGAGCGUGGGGAGCAAACAGG
rnacentral:rRNA from 1 species